GAUGAACGCUGGCGGCGUGCCUAAUACAUGCGAGUCGAGCGAAUGGAUUAAGAGCUUGCUCUUAUGAAGUUAGCGGCGGACGGGUGAGUAACACGUGGGUAACCUGCCCAUAAGACUGGGAUAACUCCGGGAAACCGGGGCUAAUACCGGAUAACAUUUUGAACCGCAUGGUUCAAAAUUGAAAGGCGGCUUCGGCUGUCACUUAUGGAUGGACCCGCGUCGCAUUAGCUAGUUGGUGAGGUAACGGCUCACCAAGGCAACGAUGCGUAGCCGACCUGAGAGGGGGAUCGGCCACACUGGGACUGAGACACGGCCCAGACUCCUACGGGAGGCAGCAGUAGGGAAUCUUCCGCAAUGGACGAAAGUCUGACGGAGCAACGCCGCGUGAGUGAUGAAGGCUUUCGGGUCGUAAAACUCUGUUGUUAGGGAAGAACAAGUGCUAGUUGAAUAAGCUGGCACCUUGACGGUACCUAACCAGAAAGCCACGGCUAACUACGUGCCAGCCGCCGCAGUAA
rnacentral:rRNA from 1 species